rnacentral:misc_RNA from 1 species
UGGCGCUCACGGCCCGUGUG